GAUGAACGCUGGCGGCGUGCCUAAUACAUGCCAGUCGAGCGAACAGACGAGGAGCUUGCUCCUCUGAUGUUAGCGGCGGACGGGUGAGUAACACGUGGAUAACCUACCUAUAAGACUGGGAUAACUUCGGGAAACCGGAGCUAAUACCGGAUAAUAUAUUGAACCGCAUGGUUCAAUAGUGAAAGACGGAUUUGCUGUCACUUAUAGAUGUAUCCGCGCCGCAUUAGCUAGUUGGUAAGGUAACGGCUUACCAAGGCAACGAUGCGUAGCCGACCUGAGAGGGUGAUCGGCCACACUGGAACUGAGACACGGUCCAGACUCCUACGGGAGGCAGCAGUAGGGAAUCUUCCGCAAUGGGCGAAAGCCUGACGGAGCAACGCCGCGUGAGUGAUGAAGGUCUUCGGAUCGUAAAACUCUGUUAUUAGGGAAGAACAAAUGUGUAAGUAACUAUGCACGUCUUGACGGUACCUAAUCAGAAAGCCACGGCUAACUACGUG
rnacentral:rRNA from 1 species